rnacentral:lncRNA from 1 species
CCGGCCAACACUUAGAGAAAUAGAAAAGAACCUAUGUGAAAUAUCGGGGGCUGGUUUCCCCUGAUAGUGAAGGAGACAGGUUAGAUACACUGGAGCUUCCACACAGGAGAGAGGGAAGGAGCUGGAGAAGAACUGCUUGGGUACUGCCAUGGAUAGCGCAUGUGUUGGCUUUGUCCAGCUUUGGGCUUUUUCCCACAUUGAUUUUAAAAAGACAGGAGCCACAGAUUUUGGAGUACUGCAAAAUGACUUUCCAAAUUGAUGAACCAUGGACUCCAAGCUGGAUAGACACAGAAAUGAAAAGAAGGGACUAAUAGGGAAUAAGACGUGUGAUCCAUGGCCCGAUGGCCCUGAUGGACGUGAAGAUCCACUGUUGUGGGAGGAGUGGAACACUAACACUGAAUGAUGGAGGCUGUGGUCAGAAACAUUGAAUUGGAGGGGCACACAUUUGGUCAUGAAAAUGGUGGGACUAAGAAGAAUGAAGUGGCAUGCAAGAGACCAUUAUAGAAAUGAUGUGGAACUCAGGGUGAGGAUGUUGGGUGUGUGCUCUUCUGUAUGGACAUUGACUUUAUGCUAAAAUGAGAUUCACUAUGUGGGAACAGUAAUAAAAUAAUGAGAUAAGGUGACAUAACUUAGUUGUGUUUACAAACUUUUGAUUUUAUGGAUUUGAAAAAAAUCCAUCAUUCAUUUUUGCCAGAUUUUUUAAAGCUAUCACCCAUUAUUCAUAACAAGAAAGACAUUUUAACUCCCACCUCCUCAUUUCCCUCUCAACCCCAAAAUAAGUAGGGACAUAAUCCCAGAUUAAAGGAUAAUACUUCCAAGGAAAGGCUUGAUUCCUCAGGAUCUAACAUUUUGCAAGUUGAAACCGCAUUCGGGAAGCAAUACUCUAAUCCACUAAAAUAAAAUUUCACUUAACACUUGAAAUAAACUUGAACUCAAAAAAUUUCUCUCCUUGGUGAGACUCAGGCAGUGAGAAGCAGCUGUGACUAGAAAUGGCACUGAUCUGUCCGUUAGAAACUUUUUAAUAAAACAUGCUUGUUGUGCCCUUGAUUUGUCUGAAUUUCAGUUGAUCCAGAGCAAGAAAAGUAGCUGAAUAUAACUGGCCAGUGCAGAAGAGCCUAUGAAGGUGGAAAAUGGAGGAAGGAGGACCCCAUGCUGGAGAAGUGAUGGAGAUUUGAAGCCUUGGAAGAUGGCGGCAAGGGAGAUGCCAGAGAUGAGACAAUGUUAAACAUCUGUAAUCUAACAGUCUUCUAUGGGAGUUUAUUACAUUUCCAUAUCCUAUGUUCACUUCUAGUGAAAAAUAAAAAUAAAAUCUUAAGCCCCCCACAGCUGACUAAAUGGAUCCCAUUGUGAAAGGAAAAUAUCUUGAGCCUCCAAAAUCACUAAGGAAAAUUCAAGCUGGAAACUUCUUAGGACAAACCUGCCUCCCAUUCUCUUCAAAGUUAUUCCUCUGCUCGAGGAGCUAGAUGCAUAUCUGAUUGCCGCCUUUGGAAAGGCUAACCAGAAACUCAAAAGGGAUUAGCAACCCACUCUCCACCAAAUUUCAAGUCACUAGGGGCAUUAUGCUAUGUCCCAGGAGUGGCCAAGGCUUCAAGGACCAAUGAUAGACCUGCUGCUCUAACCUAGGCCUGCUGAGGAGUACAAUUCAACCUGUGUUUCUGUGUGGUUCAGCAAUCUUGCUGAGCUCCUCUAAGUCAGUCCAUCCUGCCACAGCUGGGAAGAAUCAAGAAACUCUCCAAGAAGACGUUUAUUGGUUGAUAAAAAUCUGUUUAUCUGCCUGUUGCCAAUGAGAAGACAGGUCUGCUGACCAUGGCAGGCAUGGCAGCACGUGACACCGUGUUUGCUGCUCACUGCAUGUUCCACCUGAACUUUCCCGUCCGGUCAAUGAGUCUUGACAGUGGGGUGAAGGGGACUCACUCUCAAAGACCAAGGCUGACCCGCUUUGAGUACAAUGCCUUGACCUAGUUACUGUCACUGUGGUUUUGUCUUCAGGAACUAAAAGGUACAAUAAAAACUUGUUCAUU